GAUGAAGAACGCAGCGAAAUGCGAUAAGUAGUGUGAAUUGCAGAAUUCAGUGAAUCAUCGAAUCUUUGAACGCACAUUGCGCCCCUCGGUAUUCCGUGGGGCAUGCCUGUUCGAGCGUCAUUUACCCCUCAAGCACUGCUUGGUGUUGGGCGUCUGUCCCGCUUCGCGCGCGGACUCGCCCCAAAGGUAUUGGCAGCGGUCGUGCCAGCCUCUCGCGCAGCACAUUGCGCUUCUCGAGGCGGUCGAUCGGCGUCCACGAAGCUCACCUCCACCGUUUGACCUCGGAUCAGGUAGGGAUACCCGCUGAACUUAAGCAUAUCAAUAAGCGGAGGA
rnacentral:misc_RNA from 1 species